AGCGGCGGACGGGUUAGUAACCGCGUGGGACGUACCUUUCGGGUAGGGAAUAGCCACUGAACACGGUGAGUAAUACCUUAUACGCCCUUCGGGGGAAAGAUUUAUCCGCCGAGGGAUCCGGCCCGCGUUAAAAUUACCAUAGGGUGGGUGGGGGAUAAUGCCCUACCAAGUCUAGGGUGGGGGGGGGGGGUUUUAGAGGAUGAUCAGCAACGCUGGGAACUGAACCACGGCCCCAGAACUCCUACGGGAGGAAGCGGUGAGUAAUCUUACACGGGGGCGAAUGUCUGAUCUAGCCAUGCAGGUGAGGUGAAGAGGCACUACGCUCUAAAGGCUCU
rnacentral:rRNA from 1 species